rnacentral:lncRNA from 1 species
UGCCAAUCCAGCAGUCAUUACUUGUGAUGAGCUACUCCUGGGUCAUGAGAAGGCCCCUGCCUUCAGAGACUAUGUGGCUGUGGCACGAGGAAGCAAAGAUCACAACAUUCGUGCCCAAGAACCAGAGAGUGGGCUUUCAGAAGAGACUCAAGUGAAGUGCCUGAUGGACCAGGCAACAGACCCCAACAUCCUUGGCAGAACCUGGGAAGGAUGGGAGCCCUGGAUGUGAGGUCUGUGGGAGUCUGCAGAUAGAAAGCAUUACAUUGUUUAAAGAAUCUACUAUACUUUGGUUGGCAGCAUUCCAUGAGCUGAUUUUCCUGAAACACUAAAGAGAAAUGUCUUUUGUGCUACAGUUUCGUAGCAUGAGUUUAAAUCAAGAUUAUGAUGAGUAAAUGUGUAUGGGUUAAAUCAAAGAUAAGGUUAUAGUAACAUCAAAGAUUAGGUGAGGUUUAUAGAAAGAUAGAUAUCCAGGCUUACCAAAGUAUUAAGUCAAGAAUAUAAUAUGUGAUCAGCUUUCAAAGCAUUUACAAGUGCUGCAAGUUAGUGAAACAGCUGUCUCCGUAAAUGGAGGAAAUGUGGGGAAGCCUUGGAAUGCCCUUCUGGUUCUGGCACAUUGGAAAGCACACUCAGAAGGCUUCAUCACCAAGAUUUUGGGAGAGUAAAGCUAAGUAUAGUUGAUGUAACAUUGUAGAAGCAGCAUAGGAACAAUAAGAACAAUAGGUAAAGCUAUAAUUAUGGCUUAUAUUUAGAAAUGACUGCAUUUGAUAUUUUAGGAUAUUUUUCUAGGUUUUUUCCUUUCAUUUUAUUCUCUUCUAGUUUUGACAUUUUAUGAUAGAUUUGCUCUCUAGAAGGAAACGUCUUUAUUUAGGAGGGCAAAAAUUUUGGUCAUAGCAUUCACUUUUGCUAUUCCAAUCUACAACUGGAAGAUACAUAAAAGUGCUUUGCAUUGAAUUUGGGAUAACUUCAAAAAUCCCAUGGUUGUUGUUAGGGAUAGUACUAAGCAUUUCAGUUCCAGGAGAAUAAAAGAAAUUCCUAUUUGAAAUGAAUUCCUCAUUUGGAGGAAAAAAAGCAUGCAUUCUAGCACAACAAGAUGAAAUUAUGGAAUACAAAAGUGGCUCCUUCCCAUGUGCAGUCCCUGUCCCCCCCCGCCAGUCCUCCACACCCAAACUGUUUCUGAUUGGCUUUUAGCUUUUUGUUGUUUUUUUUUUUCCUUCUAACACUUGUAUUUGGAGGCUCUUCUGUGAUUUUGAGAAGUAUACUCUUGAGUGUUUAAUAAAGUUUUUUUCCAAAA